CCUACGGGUGGCAGCAGUGAGGAAUAUUCGUCAAUGGGCGGGAGCCCGAACCAGCCAAGCCGCGUGAGGGAAGAAGGUACAGCGUAUCGUAAACCUCUUUUGUCAGGGAACAAAGGCGGGGACUAGUCCCCGGAUGAGGGUACCUGAAGAAACAGCAUCGGCUAACUCCGUGCCAACAGCCGCGGGAAUACGGAGGAUGCGAGCGUUAUCCGGAUUUAUGGGGUUUAAAGGGUGCGCGGGGGGCCUGUUAAGUCAGCGGUAAAAGCCCGGGGCGAAACCCCGGCGAGCCGUUGAAACUGGCGGGCUGGAGUUGGAGAGAAGUACGCGGAAUGCGCGGUGUAGCGGUGAAAUGCUUAGAUAUCGCGCAGAACCCCGAUUGCGAAGGCAGCGUACCGGCUCCACACUGACGCUGAGGCACGAAAGCGUGGGUAUCGAACAGGAUUAGAUACCCGAGUAGUC
rnacentral:rRNA from 1 species